rnacentral:SRP_RNA from 1 species
GCUGGGUGUGGUGGUGCACACCUGCAGUCCCAGCUACUUGGGAAACUGAGGCAGGAGGAUCACUUGAGCCCAGGAGAUUGAGGCUGCAGUGAGCUGUGAUGGCACUACUGUACUCCAGCCUGGGCAACAGAGUGAGACCAUGCCUCAA